CCUCCUACUGAACCUACUGAAAAAUAUCACCUUCAAAUUUAAAUGAAUGUUAAUUAAAUUGUGUUAAUUGAAUUGUGUUAACAUUUUAAUCCCUAGUUCAACAUUUAGAUGAACAUUUAUUUGAGGCACUGUAUUCAGGCAUGAUGUAAUGCAUUUAUCCAGGUCAGGGAUGCAGACAGAUCCAGAGUCUGACUGGUAAAUACUACGCAUGAAUCAGGAAUACAUCCCGAAUUGCAUAUUAGGACUUUGUAGGAUCAUCAUGUGUACACAUCAUGUGUACACAUUCACACCUGUUUUUAUGAGUUGGGAGGACAUUAAAGAACCAAGAAGACACCUGUGAAUAUCUAAGAACUAAGGGUUUGUCGGGAUCCUGUUUCCGUGGUGAUGGCCACAAAUGCCAUGGCAACAGCCCUGCAGAGUUGUCUCGGAAACAAGAACACUCAGACAAAGACGAGAUGUGCGAGAGAGAGAAAGAAGUUUAGGAACAUUUUGCACAUGUCCGUGACACGUCAAGACAAAAUGUUAUUUUUUCGGUAUUACGUUGAAUGAAAAAGGAUUUAUCUUAGAAAUUGCUUAAU